GACGAACGCUGGCGGCGUGCCUAAUACAUGCAAGUCGAACGAGAAAUUCUUACACCGGAUGCUUGCAUCCACCGUAAGAUUUCGAGUGGCGGACGGGUGAGUAACACGUGGGUAACCUGCCCAACAGAGGGGGAUAACACUUGGAAACAGGUGCUAAUACCGCAUAACAAUGGAAACCGCAUGGUUUCUAUUUAAAAGGCGCUUAUGGUGUCACUGAUAGAUGGACCCGCGGUGCAUUAGCUAGUCGGUGGGGUAACGGCCUACCGAGGCGAUGAUGCAUAGCCGACCUGAGAGGGUGAUCGGCCACAUUGGGACUGAGACACGGCCCAAACUCCUACGGGAGGCAGCAGUAGGGAAUCUUCGGCAAUGGACGCAAGUCUGACCGAGCAACGCCGCGUGAGUGAAGAAGGUUUUCGGAUCGUAAAGCUCUGUUGUUAGAGAAGAACAAGUGGAAUAGUAACUGAUUUCACCAUGACGGUAUCUAACCAGAAAGCCACGGCUAACUACGUGCCAGCCGCCGCAGUAACAC
rnacentral:rRNA from 1 species